rnacentral:rRNA from 1 species
CCCUUAGAUGUCCUGGGCCGCACGCGCGCUACACUGAUGCAUUCAACGAGUUUUACCUUGGCCGAGAGGCCUGGGCAAUCUUUUAAACCUGCAUCGUGAUAGGGAUAGAUUAUUGCAAUUAUUAAUCUUGAACGAGGAAUUCCUAGUAAACGCAAAUCAUCAAUUUGCAUUGAUUACGUCCCUGCCCUUUGUACACACCGCCCGUCGCACCUACUGAUUGAAUGGUCCGGUGAAGCCUCGGGAUUGUGGCCAGUUCACUUUAUUGGGAGUUGGCUGUGAGAACUUGUCUAAACCUUAUCAUUUAGAGGAAGGUGAAGUCGUAACA